rnacentral:rRNA from 1 species
UACGGAGGGGGCUAGCGUUGUUCGGAAUUACUGGGCGUAAAGCGCACGUAGGCGGAUACUUAAGUCAGGGGUGAAAUCCUGGAGCUCAACUCCAGAACUGCCCUUGAUACUGAGGAUCUUGAGUUCGGGAGAGGUGAGUGGAACUGCGAGUGUAGAGGUGAAAUUCGUAGAUAUUCGCAAGAACACCAGUGGCGAAGGCGGCUCACUGGCCCGAUACUGACGCUGAGGCACGAAAGCGUGGGGAGCAAACAGG